UAACUCUUUCUCCAUCUUUUUUAAUCUCUAUAUGUUUCUUUUUUUAAUCUUUUGUGUCUGUAAGAAGUCUCUCUCUUUCUUAUUUUAAUUAGUACGAAUAGUUUGUUUUGUAUGGCAUCAUAUAUAAAAUCACGAAAAAGGAAUUUUUUUCACGAAUCACAUUCAUUUUUUUUUUUUUUUUUAUUUUUUUCUUCAUAAGAAUGCUUCUGACCAAUUUUACUGUUCGCUUGCAUCGCAAAGCAUGCAGCAGCUUCUCGAGGUUCGUGAUAUUUAUAAAGUGGACAUUAGAAGAAGGAAAAAAAAAAGGACAAAGAGAAAAAAGAAAGGAAAAAUAAUACUGAUCUUAAAAAAAAAAAAAAAAAAGAAGAAAAGAAAAAGAAAAAAAAAGAAACAAAAAGAAAAAAGAAAAAAAGAAAAGAGAAAAAAAAAAUGAAAAAAGACAUUCCUACAUAUUCAGGUGCACGACAUCUUUUUUAAUAGUGAGAAAAUAUAAUAUCAAGUGUGCAUAAGUUUCUUCUUACGAGAAAGAAAUUCUAUACGUUAAAACGGUCUUCGAUAAUUAUUGUAAUCUAAUGAAGUGAUAAUUACCCUGAUGAAAAAGUACAAAAAGAGGAAAUUAUAAUCAUUUCUUUUCUGUUUUAUAUUAUUACAAAACUGUGUUUCAUUACGGAAGUAUCGUUGUCUGUUAUACAAUUUUAUAACAAAAAGAAAAGAAAACAAACGAUCGCUUGUUUUUAUACCUAUAAAAAGCGCAUACUUACAUGCUAAAGUAACAAAAUAACAAAACAGGUAUUUAUUAUCAUAUAUUUUAUGCAAUAUUAUCGUUAUUUUCCUUAAUAUAUAUUAACUUUUUUUUUUCUUUUUUUUUUUUUUUACAAAGUUGCAGUUUCAAAAGAAAAGACGUUUUUGUUUUCCACCUCAGAUUUCAUAUUCCGCAAAUUUGUUCCUCUAAUUAUUUUAAUUUUAUUUAAUUUGUCACCUUGUGUCGAAGAAGCGUUCAGAUCAUUUAAUUUCCAACAACAUUUAAUUAAAUCCUUUUUAUUAAGUAUCUUUUUUCGAUCGUGAGAUGCUGUAUUUGUGUUCAUCGUACCAUUCCGUAACUUGCCUAUAUAUACAGGAAUACAUAGACAAAAUAUAUAUAUAUAUAUAUAUAUAUAUAUAUAUGUUUGUGUGUAUAUAAUAAUCGAUCAGUAAGAGAAAAUAUCAUUUUCUUAUCAUACUUUAACGAAUUACAAAUACUUCACACUAUAUAAUAAUUACCUAAUAUUUGCGAUAAUUUAGAUUUGUCUACUUUAUCCGUAGGUAAGUCACAGUAAUCUCUUGAUUCUAAAAUAAAGACACAAAAGCUUUCUCUAUAGCACAAUUACAUUAUUAGCAUAAUCUUUUUUUUAUUUUUUUUUUUUUUUUUUUUUUAUUUUUAUUUACUAUUAUCCUCUAAUUUAGAUGUACGUAGUAGUUUUUAAUUAAAAAUAUAUAGUAAGCAGUUUUUAAUCACACGCCGGUAAUUAACGAAGUAUAUAAAAUAUACAUACAUAAUACAUUUAGAGAAUAAUGCAAUUAUAUUCGCAAUUUCGACAGGCUAAAGUUCUGUAAAUUAUAACUUUACAAUGUCUUCCAUCAUUUUCCUUAGGCGCAUAUUAAAGAAAAAAAGAAGAAGAGCUCCUUUUCACGGAUUCAAAUAAUAUAACUAUAAGAACGAUGAAAUACUUGCCUGGAUAUUUAUUUCGGUGAUCGCAAUUAGGAUAAUCAAUUUGAAGAUGGUCACGUUUAUUGUUCUCUAAUUUAUUAACGAUGGAAUAUAUUCCUCGUCUGUGAUGUAAUACCAUGUCGCUCUCCCCACGAUACUUAAGUCUGUAAUAUAAUGUUAUCAUAUAUUUGCUAUUUUAUUUAUAUAUAAUUCUACUUUACUCUAAUAGCAGUCAAAAAUAUAUGAACCGCCAAGCUUGUUGAUGUCCAAUAACGGAGCCAGAUCGACAAAUUCGUGUCCAAGCUAUAGCUUCUUUGGCUGUCAUAUUAUAAUGCUUUAUUAAAUACGCUGCUAUCAGAGAACCUGUCCUGCCCAAUCCUGCCUAAUUAUGCGCAACGUUAUGAAUAUAUAUUACAUAUACCAAAUGGACAGCAAUGGCACCAUUUGUAGUUUCCACCAGUCGAAGAAAUUUACAGAGAAUUCUUUUUGGUGGUAUCGUACCAUCUGGCAUAAACAUAUCGUAAUGCGAUAUUCCUGCUUUUGUAAAACUAUUGGAUAAUAACAAUUAUAAAUAUAUUAUUAUUAUUAUUAUUAUUAUUAUUAUUAUUCAAGGUAUACAUGUAUAAAUCAGCUGAUUUAGUUUACGUUGAGAUAAAUUUUUUCUUUCUUUUUCUUUUUUUUUUUGUUAAUCGCCAAAAAUUAUUUACCUGUUAGAAUCAUAAGUUUUUGUAUUCAAUCUUACAACAGCAACAACGCCAUUGUUUAGAAAGUAAUUUAUGUAAUAUUGUGGUGGAUGAUAUAUCGUUUUAUUUUCUGUACUUGGGGUAACAAAAGCCAAUAAUUUUUGUGGUAUCAUCCAAUUUAAAUCACCAUUUUGAAAUUGUUCAUAUUUUUCGUAUUCGAUUAAAUCAAAGUCAUCAAAAUUAAAUAGGCCAAACGAUGCGGCUUUGUAAAUAGCAUUUAAACAAUCUAGAUUAUUAUUAGAAUUGAAUUAGAUCAGAAUUAAGAUUAGUAUGCUCGUUCCAAGUAUAAUAAUAAAUAACAAAGAAAAAUAUUACCAAGUAAAUGAAUGUUAUAAAUUAACGGUCCCAAAGAUGCAUCUUGAAAAAGUCUGAAUGAUACUUCGUUUUUCAAGACGAGAGGUUUGUAAGCUUCUUUAGGAGUUUUAUUUAAAUACAAAAUGGCGUAGGAGGCAAUCAAAUAAGCGGCAUUUGCCCUUUUCUGUUCACUUUUCGAAGUAUAAUGCACGAUUUGUUUAUGCUUAUUUAUUGGAUUAUUUAAUUUUUUGUUAACUUUAUAGCAGUAUCUGUUUUAAGAAAUACCUUUAUUAUUAUUAUUAUUUUUUUUUUUUUUAAUAUUUCUUUAGAAUUGUUAAAAUCUUUUGUUUAACCUGUACAAACACGCGAGAUUCAAAGGCCCAAAGUCGUUAUAAAAAUUAUUAUAAACGAGCUCGUUGUCGAUACUAAAAAAGUUUAUAUUCUCUGUUUUUCUUGGUUCCAAUCGUUCAUUUUUCAAAGUUACAAAGUAAAGUUUGUUUUUUAUAUAUUCCGCGAUGUUACAAACAUCCGGAUGAUUAUAAAUGGUACUUGUAGCUUAUAAAUAAUUUUCAAAAUAAAUUUAUUAAAAAUGAUAAUAACAAUAAUAAUAAUAAUAUUAACAUUAUUAUUAUAUAAUAUUAUUUAUAUAUUAAAUAAUAUUAUUAUUAUUAGCUUAGAAUAAUUCAUAUUAAAAUAUGUACAAUGAAAUAAUUACCGUCCAUUUCAUCCUGAUUAUGUCAGAUUUGUAGCAAUAUUGACUCCAGUAGUAACCGGAUCGUAGUUAUCGGAAGCGAUGGCGUACACUUUGAAUCAUGCUUAUUUUAUUUGACGCAAAUCGUUUAUUUUCCCCUCCUUUACUUGGCAAUUUAUUCACCGAAAUAAAUAACGACGAACUUUUUCUUAAUUUAUUAUACUCAACGAUUCAUUGUUAUUGUUUAAAUCCAUGUAUAACAAUCCAUAUCGUCCUUUGAAAUUAGUCGACCACAUGAUUUACUGAAAUGAAUAAAUUA